ACAAUUUGGCUUAUAAAAAAACUGUAUUAUGUCAAAUUAAAUUCAUAUAAAAAUGUAAAAUCAAACUAACGAAAAAUAAAAUAUUAUAGUAAACAACAAACUAUUUAAACACUCACCCAUUGUGCACACAAGUAGAUAAAUUAUGAUUUCCAACUCCAUUUUUUUGUUUCUAUAUUUCCUUAAUUUUGCCUCUUGGACCAAAAAUCUACAAAUAUCAAUAAUGAUUCAACUAAAUUCAAUGCUGCUUUUGCAUGUGCUUUGACUUUUUUUGGUGUAUGAAUAUUGUAGCUAUAAUCUUAUAUCCAAAAUUUUCAUUCAGAAAAAUUAACAAGAAAAAGACACCGAGUGUUACUUAGAUAUGAACAAGGAAUUAAUAAAUACUUGCACACUAUCCAUGGACAACCAGUUAUUAGCAAUUUUCGAUUUACAUACUCCUACAACACAAUAAGACCAGCUGGAGAAUUGGAUUUUCCUUCUUGUACAUUUAUUUGCCAACGAGCACAUUCAUUUUCAAAUCUAAAGUCCAAGAUAUGUAUUUUUUAGACACCAAGGCACAACUGCCAUUAAUAACCACGUCAAUAGCUUUAACUCUACAUCAAUAUUCUAAUAAAAUAAAGACGUUAAUUAAAUAUAUUAAUAAUAGAAUAUAAUUGAUUAUGAUUACUAAGUUUUACUUACCGCAAUAUUCAUAUCUUUAGUUUUAUCCAUUAUGCUUUUUAACAUCUCUCUUCCGUAGAGAUUGCAAGCUCCAUCAUUCCAAUAUACACUUUAUAACAUAAUUCAAAUUAAUGUCAAAUAAAUCAAAUACAAAUUAUAAUAUUCAAGCUAAUAAAGUAAAAUUAAAUCUCUUACCCCAUGGAUUUUGCAACACCCAAUCUCUAAUUCUUAUGUACAUUUCCAUAAGAGUCUUCUAAAUGAUAACUUGUAAACAAUGAUGAGGACUAUCUUUUUCUCCUCUUUUUUUCUUUGCUCAAUGUUUCAACACUUUCUAUUUGUUGAGAAUGGGGGCUUGAAUUGAAUUGGACUUGUACAGGCAUGAUCACCUUGUUGUAUAGAACCAAUAAUCGCUUCCAUAUUUGACUUCCAAUUAGACAAUUUGUUUAGCACAUUCUUAUUUUGUUCAUCAAUGUAAGAUUUCACUAAACUUAAAUUGGUAUCCACAUAAGAUUGCAUGCCCUGGUAAUGAUCUAGUUGCCAUUUUUGUUGCUGUUCGAAGAAUUUUUUUGGUUGUCAAGAAUCGCCUGAUAAUAAGCUUCUUGUCUUUUUGAUUCCUCAGCAAUGUGUGCAUCAAACAAACUUCUAUACAAACCUGAACCAU
rnacentral:lncRNA from 1 species